CGAAAUUAAAACACUUAAAACUUUAACGGUGUUCCUCAAAGCGAAGCUUCUUCUUCAAUCACACCCAAUUUCUAUCUCUGGUUUCCCAUUUCUAACUAAAAUUAGGGUUCUAACUGCUUGCUCGUGAGCUGCUCGUAAUCAAUUUUUCGUUGAUUACUCGGUUCAGAAAUGAAGACGAGAGGUUAUGCAGUAGAAAUCACAAACCUCUCUCCUAAUGCAACGGAGAAGGAUGUUCGUGAUUUUCUCACCUUCUGUGGCGCAAUUCAACAUGUUGAAUUUGUCAGAACCGGUGACUCUGAAUGUGUCGCCUAUGUGACUUUCAAAAAUCCGCAUGCUGUGGAAACUGCUGU